AUAAUGGUUCUGUUGGACGUGGGGUAGUUGCUGAUGCUUGCUUGCUUAGGGCCAGUACUGAAAUGAAGAAUAAAAUACGUAAAAAUGACCAGGUGUAUAGCCUCGAACGCUGGCUGAGGC
rnacentral:sRNA from 14 species